GACGAACGCUGGCGGCGUGCUUAACACAUGCAAGUCGAACGGAAAGGCCCUGCUUGCAGGGUACUCGAGUGGCGAACGGGUGAGUAACACGCGGGUGAUCUGCCCUGCACUUCGGGAUAAGCCUGGGAAACUGGGCCUAAUACCUGCUAGGAGCCAUUUUUAGUGGGAUGGUUGGAAAGUUUUUUCGGUAUUGGAUGAGUUGGCUGCCUAUCAGCUUGUUGGUGGGGUAAUGGCCUACCGAGGCGGCGUCGGGAAGCCGGCCUGUGGAGGUGGACGGCGACACUGGCACUGAGAGGAGGCAGCGGCUCCGACGCGUCGCAGAAGUGGGGAAGCCUGACCGAGGGACGCCAGGCGGGUGCAGAGACGCCGCGUGGCGGAUGACGGUCUUAGGGUUGUAGACCACAUUCGCAAGGAACGGAGCAUUUCGUGACGGUACCUAGAUAAAAAGCCCCGGCUAACUACGUG
rnacentral:rRNA from 1 species